rnacentral:tRNA from 1 species
CCGUCUCUGGUCCGGUGAGCCACUGCACCCGGGUUGCGGUGGCCGCUGCGGGCGCGGCGGCGGCACGCGCGGUGGUCUCGGGCGCGACGGC